ensembl:lncRNA
CGCUCUGCCUAUUUGCAGCUGAAGGGAAGAAUUAGGCAGCUGCUCCUUCUUCCAGACUCCCAGAUCCUCAUCUUAUCUUCUGUGGCAGCAAACACUCCAGCCUCUGUGAACAAAACCUAUCCUUCACAGUUGUGGAUUGUACUGAUUCAUUCGCUGAUUACACUGGAGCGUGAAUGCAUUUCCAUAUCUGUGUUACUCUGGCCAGUUAUAUGCAUUUGAAGACUUUAUUGCAAAGAGAUUUGCUUUGUUUAAAGGAUUAAGCCUCAGGUGCUAUCUGUGUGAAGCCACAGACAAGAAAGAAGAGAGAGGAAAAAGGAAGCA